GCAUCAUAUGCUGGCUGUCCGGGUGUGUAAAAUACACCUGUUAGCAAGGGCCGGGCAAGACCGGUGCCAGCCGCCGCGGUAACACCGGCGGCCCGAGUGGUGAUCGUGAUUAUUGGGUCUAAAGGGUCCGUAGCCGGUUUGGUCAGUCCUCCGGGAAAUCUGAUAGCUCAACUAUUAGGCUUUCGGGGGAUACUGCCAGACUUGGAACCGGGAGAGGUAAGAGGUACUACAGGGGUAGGAGUGAAAUCUUGUAAUCCCUGUGGGACCACCUGUGGCGAAGGCGUCUUACCAGAACGGGUUCGACGGUGAGGGACGAAAGCUGGGGGCACGAACCGGAUUAGAUACCCGGGUAGUCCCAGCCGUAAACGAUGCUCGCUAGGUGUCAGGCAUGGCGCGACCGUGUCUGGUGCCGCAGGGAAGCCGUGAAGCGAGCCACCUGGGAAGUACGGCCGCAAGGCUGAAACUUAAAGGAAUUGGCGGGGGAGCACAACAACGGGUGGAGCCUGCGGUU
rnacentral:rRNA from 1 species